CUGGCUCAGGCCUGCCUCCAUCCAGCGCUGUCUGCGGGCCCAGGGCGGCGUUGGGCACUGGAGGCGGCCGGUGGCUCUGGAGCAAAGCACAUCAAAGCAGCCUGAAAAUUCCACUUUUAAGGAGCAAUUGAAAAUUUAUCACCCAGAGCACCAAUAGGAAGAGGCCCACAAAGGGUUGCAGGUGUCCCACCACAUCAUACUGCAGCAAACUCCAGCAGCAAAACCACGAUGGACCAGUGCCUCUGCCCACUAGAGAAGUCCUACAUGUAAAGAAAAUUGCAGCAGUGAAGGUGCAGAGUGAGAAACCCUGAAACUGAAGUGCUUGGAUCAAUAGUGAGGCACAAGCUCUCCAGGCUGCUUGGACUUCUUUGCACUGUCUUGCCACGGAGUUAUUUUCCAAAAGCAAUUAGCUUUGCUCCUUGCAGUUGCCCCAGGCAUUUAGACUGCCCACAAGAUUCAGAGCUACCUGUAGGGAAGUGUCUCCCAGUUCCUCCCAAUCUCCCAGAAUCUCCUCCU